rfam:Zea mays cultivar B73 chromosome 6, whole genome shotgun sequence.
UCCUAGGUUGCAUUAGCAACCAUCAUAAAUGUAAAAAACAUCAAAU